AUUGAACGCUGGCGGCAGGCCUAACACAUGCAAGUCGAGCGGAGCGGCGGCCGGGAGAGUAAUGCCUAGGAAUCUGCCUGGUAGUGGGGGAUAACGUCCGGAAACGGGCGCUAAUACAGCAUACUAUCAGAUGAGCCUAGGUCGGAUUAGCUAGUUGGUGGGGUAAAGGCCUACCAAGGCGACGAUCCGUAACUGGUCUGAGAGGAUGAUCAGUCAAAUUGGAAGCGAGACAGGGUGCAGACUCCUACGGGACGCAGCAGUGGGGAAUAUUGGACAAUGGGUGAAAGCCUGAUCCAGCCAGGCCGCGUGUGUGACGAAGGUCUUCGGAUUGUAAAGCACUUUAAGUUGGAGGGCGUUCCCAACAGAAUAAGCACCGGCUAACUUCGUGCCAGCCGCCGCGGUAAUAC
rnacentral:rRNA from 1 species